AGCGUAGGCGGUUUUUUAAGUGGGGUGUGAAAUCCCUGGGCUUAACCCAGGAAUUGCAUUCCAUACUGGGAAACUAGAGUGCAGGAGAGGAAAGUGGAAUUCCAAGUGUAGCGGUGAAAUGCGUAGAGAUUUGGAGGAACACCAGUGGCGAAGGCGACUUUCUGGACUGUAACUGACGCUGAGGCUCGAGAGCGUGGGGAGCAAACAGGAUUAGAUACCCUGGUAGUCCACGCUGUAAACGAUGAAUACUAGGUGUUGGGGGCGAAGCCCUCAGUGCCGCAGUUAACACAUUAAGUAUUCCGCCUGGGGAAUACGAUCGCAAGAUUAAA
rnacentral:rRNA from 1 species